rnacentral:rRNA from 1 species
GAUGAACGCUAGCGGGAGGCUUAACACAUGCAAGUCGAGCGGCAGCACGGACUUCGGUCUGGUGGCGAGCGGCGCACGGGUGCGUAACGCGUAUGCAACCUGCCUUAUACAGGGGGAUAGCCCAUGGAAACGUGGAUUAAUACCCCAUAACAUCAUGAAUUCGCAUGGAUUUAUGAUUAAAAUUUCGAUGGUAUAAGAUGGGCAUGCGUCUGAUUAGCUAGUUGGUGAGGUAACGGCUCACCAAGGCGACGAUCAGUAGGGGUUCUGAGAGGAUUAUCCCCCACACUGGUACUGAGACACGGACCAGACUCCUACGGGAGGCAGCAGUGAGGAAUAUUGGUCAAUGGGCGAGAGCCUGAACCAGCCAUCCCGCGUGCAGGAUGACGGCCCUAUGGGUUGUAAACUGCUUUUCUACGCCAAGAAACGGCCCUACGUGUAGGGCACUGACGGUAGCGUAGGAAUAAGCAUCGGCUAACUCCGUGCCAGCAGCCGCUGUAAGAC